rnacentral:rRNA from 1 species
GUGUCAGCCGCCGCGGUAAUACGAAGGGGGCUAGCGUUGUUCGGAAUUACUGGGCGUAAAGGGCGCGUAGGCGGCCUGCCAAGUCUGAUGUGAAAUCCCUGGGCUCAACCCGGGAAUGGCACCAGGGACUGGUAGGCUUGAGGACGGGAGAGGAUGGUGGAAUUCCCAGUGUAGAGGUGAAAUUCGUAGAUAUUGGGAAGAACACCGGUGGCGAAGGCGGCCAUCUGGUCCGUUUCUGACGCUGAGGCGCGAAAGCGUGGGGAGCAAACAGGAUUAGAUACCCUGGUAGUCCACGCUGUAAACGAUGCGUGCUAGACGUUGGAAGGCAUGGCCUUUCGGUGUCGUCGCUAACGCAGUAAGCACGCCGCCUGGGGAGUACGGCCGCAAGGUUAAA